rnacentral:rRNA from 1 species
AGAACGAACGCUGGCGGCAGGCCUAACACAUGCAAGUCGAACGCCCCGCAAGGGGAGUGGCAGACGGGUGAGUAACACGUGGGAACAUACCCUUCGGUUCGGAAUAACUCAGGGAAACUUGAGCUAAUACCGGAUACGUCCUGGCGGAGAAAGAUUUAUCGCCGAAGGAUUGGCCCGCGUCCGAUUAGCUAGUUGGUGAGGUAAUGGCUCACCAAGGCGACGAUCGGUAGCUGGUCUGAGAGGAUGAUCAGCCACAUUGGGACUGAGACACGGCCCAAACUCCUACGGGAGGCAGCAGUGGGGAAUAUUGGACAAUGGGCGCAAGCCUGAUCCAGCCAUGCCGCGUGAGUGAUGACGGCCUUAGGGUUGUAAAGCUCUUUCGUCAGGGACGAUAAUGACGGUACCUGAAGAAGAAGCCCGGCUAACUCGCGCCAGCAGCCGC